GGCUGUAGUGGAUUGCAGAGAUACCCACAGUAGCUUUACACAAGCUAACUCAGGCAGUGCACAGAGCUUAGCCUGGGCAAAUUUACCCUGCUGCAAUUGCAGUGUAAGUCAUAACCACAGCCUCCCUCUCAGGGAGUGACUCAGAAGGUCUUGUCUCUGCACUUACCCAUUUUAGUAGUCCAGACUGGGAUAUUUUGUCAUUGACUUCAGUGGAAAACAGGAUUGGCCAGUCAUUUCUUAUCACUACCUGAUACAUUUGAUUCCAUGAGAGUGCAGUGAAACACAUAAACAGAAAACUAACUAAACUGAAAACCUGUUUUAUAAGUCUCGGCACUGGCUGUAUACAUUUUUUUCAGAGUGAAGCCUGUACGCGUUAUAAACUCAUCAUUUCCUGUGUUCAUUUUCCCACCCCUCUACCAGCCUUUCAGCAUGGAUUUGUGCUAAUACCCCCUUUCUUAAGUGGCUCCAAAUAAUGAAAUGGAUCUCAUUGGGCUCUCCAGUCUUCAACAUAGAAGAAAAACAGCUUUCUGCAUGACAGUAGUAACUUCAGGGGCUCCACCCGCGAAGUUUUCCAGACCUGGCUGGUGCAGUUCUGAUUCAGGUCCAGCUGCUCCUUGCCCCCUCCCUUUGGAAAAGGGCGGGGUAUUGCUUCCCUUGUGCUGCCUCUGGAUUGGUGGGCGGACUCCACCAAUCAAACAGCAGACCCUCGAUCCUGGGACUCAACCCAAGCUCCGAAAAGUAAAGAACUCUUGUUCCUGAGGAGCAGUGUCAUUGACCUCCAUUCUCAUCCCAGAGUUUUGAGCUCUGUACAUAUGCUGAACCCUGGCCACCAAAUAUCUUGAAGAAUGAUCUGCAUUUCUUCCACCUUCCAGGGGGCAGGUAAAUAUUAAUUUUCUAAAUUUUUUAGGGGCCCUGUGGACUGGAUAGAAUGGCCUGGUGGGCCAGAUCCAGCCCAUGGGCCAUAUUUUGCCCACCCCUGGGCUAGAGCCAGUAGGUUCUGAUCCACCUGUUGAAUUAACUCAGGGGCGAGCAAUUAUUUCAGGCAGCCUUUGCCUACAGGUGGGUUACCGACAAGGGAAGAGACCUGGGCCAGGCAAGCCCAGAGGGGGACACCUGAGCCCAGUGUAGUGGGUCCAGGCAGGGUGGCAGCCCCCUGAGCCUAUAGGGUGAGAGACCCCAGUGUUAGGGGCCAGGCACGGUAGCAGCCACCUGAGCCUACAGGGUUGAAGACCCCAGUACAUGGGGCCAGACACAGCAGCAGCCACCUGAGCCCCACAGAGUGAGUGAAAGACCCAGUGCAGGGGGCCAGGCACGGUGUCAGCUACCUAAGCCCCACCAGGUGAAAGAUCCCAGUGGCCCAGUGAGAGGCUGGGAGUGUGAAGUGGCUCGAUGGUGGGCAGAAGGCCCAGUGAGGAGCCAAAGGCCCAGUGGGGGCUGAGUGUGUAGGGUCACCCAGUUGAAGAUGAGUGGCCCUAGUGAGGGACAGAAACAUUGACUUGGGGAAACAGAUAUAUGAGAUGGGAUAAUAUGGAAAUACCGGAUGUGACAGAAAUAUUGGAAUGGACAGCAUGGUAAUACUGGAUGUGACGUUGAAACAGCUGCAAAGCAUGGGACACGUGUAAGGGGAGGUUAGAGUGUGUACUUAGGGCUAUGUGAAAUUUUGCCAGCUGUUUCAUUUUGACACUGUUUCAACUCAUUUCAAGCUUGAAACAGCAAAGUCAAAAUAAAAUGAAGAUCUUCAAAAUAGCCUCAAAAUGGAACGAGGGCAGUCAAAAUAUUUCAAAAGUUUUGAAAUCUUUCAAGUUUUGAAGCUGAACCUGGGCUUGCCUUCAGGGAAAAGGAAAGUAAGGAGAGGGAGGGGGAAGAAGGGGGAAGGA